rnacentral:rRNA from 1 species
UACGGAGGAUCCAAGCGUUAUCCGGAUUUAUUGGGUUUAAAGGGUGCGUAGGUGGCUUAUUAAGUCAGGGGUGAAAGCCCAGAGCUCAACUCUGGAAUUGCCUUUGAGACUGAGAGGCUUGAGUACGGGAGAGGUGAGUGGAAUUCCCAGUGUAGAGGUGAAAUUCGUAGAUAUUGGGAAGAACACCAGUGGCGAAGGCGGCUCACUGGACCGUAACUGACGCUCAUGCACGACAGCGUGGGGAUCAAACAGG